rnacentral:rRNA from 1 species
GGGACACGUGGUAUCCUGUCUGAAUAUGGGGGGACCAUCCUCCAAGGCUAAAUACUCCUGACUGACCGAUAGUGAACCAGUACCGUGAGGGAAAGGCGAAAAGAACCCCGGCGAGGGGAGUGAAAAAGAACCUGAAACCGUGUACGUACAAGCAGUGGGAGCCUCUUUAUGGGGUGACUGCGUACCUUUUGUAUAAUGGGUCAGCGACUUAUAUUCUGUAGCAAGGUUAACCGUAUAGGGGAGCCGAAGGGAAACCGAGUCUUAACUGGGCGUUAAGUUGCAGGGUAUAGACCCGAAACCCGGUGAUCUAGCCAUGGGCAGGUUGAAGGUUGGGUAACACUAACUGGAGGACCGAACCGACUAAUGUUGAAAAAUUAGCGGAUGACCUGUGGCUGGGGGUGAAAGGCCAAUCAAACCGGGAGAUAGCUGGUUCUCCCCGAAAGCUAUUUAGGUAGCGCCUCGUGAACUCAUCUUCGGGGGUAGAGCACUGUUUCGGCUAGGGGGCCAUCCCGGCUUACCAACCCGAUGCAAACUACGAAUACCGAAGAAUGUUAUCACGGGAGACACACGGCGGGUGCUAACGUCCGUCGUGAAGAGGGAAACAACCCAGACCGCCAGCUAAGGUCCCAAAGUCAUGGUUAAGUGGGAAACGAUGUGGGAAGGCACAGACAGCCAGGAUGUUGGCUUAGAAGCAGCCAUCAUUUAAAGAAAGCGUAAUAGCUCACUGGUCGAGUCGGCCUGCGCGGAAGAUGUAACGGGGCUAAACCAUGCACCGAAGCUGCGGCAGCGACGCUUAUGCGUUGUUGGGUAGGGGAGCGUUCUGUAAGCCGUUGAAGGUGUGCUGUGAGGCAUGCUGGAGGUAUCAGAAGUGCGAAUGCUGACAUAAGUAACGAUAAAGCGGGUGAAAAGCCCGCUCGCCGGAAGACCAAGGGUUCCUGUCCAACGUUAAUCGGGGCAGGGUGAGUCGACCCCUAAGGCGAGGCCGAAAGGCGUAGUCGAUGGGAAACAGGUUAAUAUUCCUGUACUUGGUGUUACUGCGAAGGGGGGACGGAGAAGGCUAUGUCAGCCGGGCGACGGUUGUCCCGGUUUAAGCAUGUAGGCGGAGGU